GCUAGGUUUUUAGAGAAACAUCAGAUACAUAGAAAAGAGGCAAAAGGGAGAAAGAGCAAAAGCUAGGUUUUUGAAGAAGGAACCAUAGAGAUUGCUUGAUUCGUCAUCAAUUGCUGAAAAUUUAAGGUCCAAAUGAGGCGCCGUUUAAAGUGUUAGAAAGCUAACAUGCAAAGCUACCUCCUGAUUAUGCAUGGUGAAAUAUUUAAGUUGUAGUUAACUACAUACUGUAGGGAUAUUUAUGAUGACUUAUAUGAUUGGUUAGCGAAUCAUUAUUUUUAUGUGAUGAUGUGUUGUUGUUUUGGUGAAGUAACAUGAAUGAAUGCCUACGAAGUCAUGUUUGAUGAGAUA